UUGAGUUUUUCUGCCUCGAGCUUCAUCACCAGUGAUGUUCAGGACUCAUUCUUGUAUUUUACACUCUCUGAUGUUUUCUUUUCUUCAUGUCUAGUGUGUGAAUCAUUUCUGGUUUGUCUCUUCAGUGUCUCAUGUGGCCCUGCAGCUUCUCCUCCUCCACCUCCUCCUGAAGCCUUCAUCUUCUUCAUCAUCAGCUGCUCAGUGACUCUGUUGGACGUCUCACCGUGUGGCAGCAGCUCAGGAGUUUGCAGUCAACCAAGGCCGACUCAGAAUCACUCCCACCGGGAAGAUCUGUGAAGGAAGGUCCACCCGGCUGGUCCAGAAGCUCCGGUCCAGCAGAGCAGUGUCAGGAUGGAGACGUAACCGGGUGAGUUAACUAGAGAGGCGACACAUUCACAUAGAAAAUCCAACAAUUCCUUCUGUUUUUACAGUUUGUGACUCUGGUAAAUGGUGUCAUUUUUCAAAGCUGGUGGGUUUUGGGCUUCACAGAUUGAACCUAAAUGCUUUUCUUAAACAAACUGCUGAGCUGCUGCACAGUGAAAUGUUUGAGUGGAGCUCAGGAUGAAAGCAUCAGAGCUGUUUUACAUGUUUUUAUGUUCAGCUAAUAUCAUUUCCUCUGGACAAUGUUUGUGGUGUUAGAAGUGGACGUUUGUAGGGAGUUUUCAGUUGUGAUACUUUAAUGCAUAAAUAUUUGCAGUGGUGGUUUCACUGCAAGCAUCUACUGAUGUCACCAGUGAAGUAAAUAAAAACAGCAUUUGUUGAACUUUA